rnacentral:rRNA from 1 species
GACGUAGGAGGCGAGCGUUGUCCGGAAUCAUUGGGCGUAAAGAGCGUGUAGGCGGCUUGGCAAGUCUGACGUGAAAGCCCGCGGCUCAACCGCGGAUUGUCGUUGGAAACUGCCUCGCUAGAGUCCGGAAGAGGAGAGCGGAAUCCUGGUGUAGCGGUGGAAUGCGCAGGAUAUCAGGAGGAACACCUGCGGCGAAGGCGGCCU